GAUGAACGCUAGCUACAGGCUUAACACAUGCAAGUCGAGGGACCGGCGCACGGGUGAGUAACACGUAUCCAACCUUCCCUUUACCCGGGGAUAGCCUUUCGAAAGAAAGAUUAAUACCCGAUAUAAAGGAUGGGGAUGCGUUCCAUUAGGUUGUUGGUGAGGGAACGGCCCACCAAGCCUUCGAUGGAUAGGGGUUCGGAGAGGAAGGUCCCCUACAUUGGAACUGAGGCCCGGUCCAAACUCCUACGGGAGGCAGCAGUGAGGAAUAUUGGUCAAUGGGCGUUAGCCUGAACCCGCCAAGUAGCGUGAAGGAUGAAGGCUUCUGGGUCGUAAACUUCUUUUAAAGAAGAAUAUGUAUUUUAUGAAUAAGGAUCGGCUAACUCCGUGCCAGCAGCCGCGGUAAUAC
rnacentral:rRNA from 1 species